rnacentral:lncRNA from 1 species
UGUAUGGCUGACCCUGAUCUCAUCGUGUCAUCAUCGCCGUGUCCUCGUCGUCACGCCGAAGGUAUUCACAAUUCUGCGCUCUCAGCGCGUUCGUACGUGUCCUUGGUCAUCUCACGCUGUUACUGUCGUGGCUGGGUCUCCAGUGGAGAAAAAAUGUUUUGAUCUGCGCUCGAAAUCGCGAGUAGGCGACCUUUGCUCCUAUCAAAAUUGCGGCUGCAUAUCGGAGAUAGGCAACCGGACUCAGGUUGAGCUGAAUGGAUAGGCUACGUGUACCCUGUACUAUAGAGAAGUAUGACACUUAUGUACAUUGUUAACGAUGGAGCGACCCCCUGAUUACUAAAAACCAGGCAUUCCACUGUUGUAGAAAAUCAAUCCAGGCUACUGGUUGCCGUUCUUGGAAUGACCAUAACAUUGCUAAAACUUCUAACAUUGAAAAGUUUCGUAACAGCAUCGAUCCCGUGAAUCUGAAUGUGUGCGCUAGCCAAAUAUGGCUCUGAAAAGUAUUGAAAGAUGGCAAGUUGAAAUCGAUUGUACAUUACUGCCAAAAAUCCCACCUACAAACGCUCACAUUAUGAUCCGUUGCAUGCAAGGCAAGACUAAAUAGCCUAACCUAUUUUAAACAUCUUUGACAAGCCCCCUCCCGUGUUCUAUCCCGUUCCACAUUUCAUGUGAUCACAUCAAUUGUGUUUACAUCACUUGCAAAUGUCUGUUUUUUCGUUCCGUUCGCUCGAAGUCUGUUUGCUCAGUCAGUGAAGACUCUGCUGUUCCAUCACAAUGGCCGACACUUAACUUGAAGAAGGGUUAUCACCUUGUGAAACUUGUCUUGCCUACUAUGACUACCCGUUGCUACCACCAUCUACAGCAUACGAGUUCAGCUAUGGCGUAGCUUUAAUGAUCAUUCGAAGUCGAGUAAUGCGAACGAGUUUUCUCCCGCCGCUUUAUCAUGCGGCGGAGCAAUUCGCAAAGCGAAGUUGUAUCGAUAGACUACUACCAGGGCCAAGUUACAAGGAGGACUAGAGUAAUAGAAAGGAAGAGACCGUGCAGAACCAAACGCCUACCAGCAGGUGUAUCGUGCAAACGCUACUGCCUGCUGCUGUACACUUAUUGGUAGCGAGCAUUCGCUUACCCGCGGCCCGGCCAACCAUCAAACCGUACAACCGACGCCAAGCGGGCAACUACGCCAAGUGAGUGGCAAGACAGAGAACAAGUUCCCAGAAAGCCUGGCUGGCUAUUGCUGAAAGGCCGCUCACGUCGAGCAACCGAGCAAGCCAGGCAGCUAGAGACUCUCAUUCGAAUCGAGACCAUCCGAGGUAUCCAGCCAUCAUUGAGGACGCGAUAGAGGGGGAUAGUGAAGGCAAAAAAAGAACGCUAGGCGUAACGGCUCACGUAGUGCCAAGGCGCCAAACAAAAGUUUUGUGCUUUGCCCACAAACUGCCUAUACACGCGCCAGCCUCCUGGAGCAAAGGAAAAGUAAGAUACAGCUAACCUAUUUUCAGAAUGACCUCCUUCCUCAACAAAGUGGAGAUCAACUAGCUGACUCCCAAACAACUUCAUCGUCUAAUGUCACAGAUAAAUAGCAUUUGCAGUAUGUCAAUGGAUAGACAUUUGUAAUCUGCUUUUAAUGCGUUUCCAGUUCGACCUAAACGGUAAACGUAUACUUUAAGUAGAACCAACCCAUAUGCCUACUAGGGCAAAUGUUUUUCGGAGUCGUGCAAUGCUCAAUGUUAUUAUAAACGAAAUACUAGUAAACAAUUUCACCAUGACUAAAAAUUAACCGUACUUUGUCAAACUUUCAUUAUUGGCCGUACCACUUAAUUUUUUCUGAUCUAUGGUGAGUUGGUUGCUUAAUAAUGUUCAGCAUAAUUGUAAAUUUUUUUUCUGAUUUGUUUAGCUCAGUUAGGCACACGUCCUUUUUGAAGUUUCCUUCAUCUUGGUUAUGAGUCGUAGGUUUCAAUCUUGAUUGCGUGGUGUCUGCAUUCUUUUGCCAGCUGAACAACGUUCGUAUUUUUAACGUAAAUCCGUUUUUGCGGAACGGAUUUUGUCUAUCUCAGCUAUCACGUUUGCGGCAACAGAAUCACUCGAAUGGAAUCCAUACUUUACAUAAACAAGAUUAUACAGCACAAGCGUAAA